rnacentral:rRNA from 1 species
ACAUCCAGAGAACUUAGCAGAGAUGCUUUGGUGCCUUCGGGAACUCUGAGACAGGUGCUGCAUGGCUGUCGUCAGCUCGUGUUGUGAAAUGUUGGGUUAAGUCCCGNAACGAGCGCAACCCUUAUCCUUUGUUGCCAGCGGCUCGGCCGGGAACUCAAAGGAGACUGCCGGUGAUAAACCGGAGGAAGGUGGGGAUGACGUCAAGUCAUCAUGGCCCUUACGGCCAGGGCUACACACGUGCUACAAUGGUGCAUACAAAGAGAAGCGACCUCGCGAGAGCAAGCGGACCUCAUAAAGUGCGUCGUAGUCCGGAUUGGAGUCUGCAACUCGACUCCAUGAAGUCGGAAUCGCUAGUAAUCGUAGAUCAGAAUGCUACGGUGAAUACGUUCCCGGGCCUUGUACACACCGCCCGUCACACCAUGGGAGUGGGUUGCAAAAGAAGUAGGUAGCUUAACCUUCGGGAGGGCGCUUACCACUUUGUGAUUCAUGACUGGGGUGAAGUCGUAACAAGGUAAGCGUAGACGU